rnacentral:tRNA from 1 species
ACCUGUUUGGUUCAGUCGGAAGUGUGUGGGACUCUUGAUCUCAGGGUCAUGAGUUCAAGCCCCACAAUAGGUA